UACGUAGGGUGCAAGCGUUGUCCGGAAUUAUUGGGCGUAAAGAGCUCGUAGGCGGUCUGUCGCGUCGGAUGUGAAAACUUGGGGCUCAACUCCAAGCCUGCAUUCGAUACGGGCAGACUAGAGUUCGGUAGGGGAGACUGGAAUUCCUGGUGUAGCGGUGAAAUGCGCAGAUAUCAGGAGGAACACCGGUGGCGAAGGCGGGUCUCUGGGCCGAUACUGACGCUGAGGAGCGAAAGCUAGGGUAGCAAAUGGG
rnacentral:rRNA from 1 species